rnacentral:rRNA from 1 species
AACGAACGCUGGCGGCAUGCCUAACACAUGCAAGUCGAACGAGACCUUCGGGUCUAGUGGCGCACGGGUGCGUAACGCGUGGGAACCUGCCUUUAGGUUCGGAAUAACUCAGAGAAAUUUGAGCUAAUACCGGAUAAUGUCUUCGGACCAAAGAUUUAUCGCCUUUAGAUGGGCCCGCGUAAGAUUAGCUAGUUGGUGGGGUAAAGGCCUACCAAGGCGACGAUCUUUAGCUGGUCUGAGAGGAUGAUCAGCCACACUGGGACUGAGACACGGCCCAGACUCCUACGGGAGGCAGCAGUGGGGAAUAUUGGACAAUGGGCGAAAGCCUGAUCCAGCAAUGCCGCGUGAGUGAUGAAGGCCUUAGGGUUGUAAAGCUCUUUUACCCGAGAUGAUAAUGACAGUAUCGGGAGAAUAAGACUCCGGCUAACUCCGUGCCAGCAGCCGCGGUAAU